rnacentral:rRNA from 1 species
GGGCCGCACAAGCGGUGGAGCAUUGUGGUUUAAUUCGACGCAACGCGAAGAACCUUACCUGGCCUUGACAUGUUGGGAACUUUCCAGAGAUGGAUUGGUGCCUUCGGGAACCCAAACACAGGUGCUGCAUGGCCGUCGUCAGCUCGUGUCGUGAGAUGUUGGGUUAAGUCCCGUAACGAGCGCAACCCUUAUCCCUAGUUGCCAGCACAUUAUGGUGGGAACUCUAGGGAGACUGCCGGUGACAAACCGGAGGAAGGUGGGAUGACGUCAGGUCAUCAUGGCCCUUACGGCCAGGGCUACACACGUGCUACAAUGGCGCGCACAGAGGGCUGCAAACCCGCGAGGGGGAGCUAAUCUCACAAAACGCGUCGUAGUCCGGAUCGCAGUCUGCAACUCGACUGCGUGAAGUCGGAAUCGCUAGUAAUCGUGAAUCAGAAUGUCACGGUGAAUACGUUCCCGGGCCUU